CCUACGGGAGGCAGCAGUGGGGAAUAUUGGACAAUGGGCGGAAGCCUGAUCCAGCAACGCCGCGUGAGGGAUGACGGCCUUCGGGUUGUAAACCUCUUUCAGCACAGACGAAGCGCAAGUGACGGUAUGUGCAGAAGAAGGACCGGCCAACUACGUGCCAGCAGCCGCGGUAAUACGUAGGGUCCGAGCGUUGUCCGGAAUUAUUGGGCGUAAAGGGCUCGUAGGCGGUUUGUCGCGUCGGGAGUGAAAACACCGGGCUUAACUCGGUGCUUGCUUUCGAUACGGGCAGACUAGAGGCAUUCAGGGGAGAACGGAAUUCCUGGUGUAGCGGUGAAAUGCGCAGAUAUCAGGAGGAACACCGGUGGCGAAGGCGGUUCUCUGGGAAUGUCCUGACGCUGAGGAGCGAAAGUGUGGGGUAGCGGAACAGGAUUAGAUACCCUGGUAGUCCACACCGUAAACGUUGGGCGCUAGGUGUGGGGUUCCAUUCCACGGGAUUCCGUGCCGCAGCUAACGCAUUAAGCGCCCCGCCUGGGGAUCGGCCGCAAGGCUAAAACGUCAAAUGAAUUGACGGCUGAAGCCGNGCGAGCGACGACGAGGAGAG
rnacentral:rRNA from 1 species